rnacentral:misc_RNA from 1 species
AACGCACACUGCGCCCUAUGGUAUUCCGUAGGGCAUGCCUGUUCGAGCGUCAUUCAAACCUUCAAGCUCUGCUUGGUGUUGGGCGUCUGUCCUGCCUCACGGCGCGGACUCGCCUCAAAUCUAUUGGCGGCCGGCACGUUGGCUUCGAGCGCAGCAGAAACGCGAACUCGAGACCGGCGGAUCGGCUCCCAGAAGCUACCCCCAUGAAUUUGACCUCGGAUCAGGUAGGGAUACCCGCUGAACUUAA